GAUGAACGCUGGCGGCGUGCCUAAUACAUGCAAGUCGAGCGAACAGACGAGGAGCUUGCUCCUUUGACGUUAGCGGCGGACGGGUGAGUAACACGUGGGUAACCUACCUAUAAGACUGGGAUAACUUCGGGAAACCGGAGCUAAUACCGGAUAAUAUUUCGAACCGCAUGGUUCGAUAGUGAAAGAUGGCUGUGCUAUCACUUAUAGAUGGACCUGCGCCGUAUUAGCUAGUUGGUAAGGUAACGGCUUACCAAGGCAACGAUACGUAGCCGACCUGAGAGGGUGAUCGGCCACACUGGAACUGAGACACGGUCCAGACUCCUACGGGAGGCAGCAGUAGGGAAUCUUCCGCAAUGGGCGAAAGCCUGACGGAGCAACGCCGCGUGAGUGAUGAAGGUCUUCGGAUCGUAAAACUCUGUUAUUAGGGAAGAACAAACGUGUAAGUAACUGUGCACGUCUUGACGGUACCUAAUCAGAAAGCCACGGCUAACUACGUG
rnacentral:rRNA from 1 species